CCUAGAACACCUUCAUCUUCCUCAAAUUCCUCAGCUAACGUGGGAUCAGCCUCAUAAACUUCUUCUCCUUCUUCAGUUUCAACACACUCAGGCUCUUCCUCUUUAGUUUCUCCUAAGUGGAAGGCUCUAGAAGGGCAUUGGGCAAAUAGAUGUCCAUAGCCUUGGCACUUAAAAUAUCUGGCCAGUGUGAUAGGUCCACUAGUCUUCAGUGUCUCUAGUAUUUCCUUCCCCUUAUCAUUUCUUCUCACCAAAGAAUUUACAACUAAAGGUAGAUGGGUAGGGGUUUGACUAGUACUAGGUUUAGGACCUAAAGGGAUAGGUCGGCUCAA
rnacentral:lncRNA from 1 species